UAGGGAAUCUUCCACAAUGGGCGAAAGCCUGAUGGAGCAACGCCGCGUGUGUGAUGAAGGGUUUCGGCUCGUAAAACACUGUUGUAAGAGAAGAAUGACAUUGAGAGUAACUGUUCAAUGUGUGACGGUAUCUUACCAGAAAGCCACGGCUAACUACGUACCAG
rnacentral:rRNA from 1 species